rnacentral:hammerhead_ribozyme from 1 species
AUUUAAAUGACGAGUCUCGAAUAGGAUGAAACACACUUCCUAGAU